UGAGAAGAGACAUGGGCCCCUGGUGCCCUAGUGUGAAGUUUCAGUUAGUGGCAGGGUCUUCACUUCCUGUUCCAAGCUGUUGGGAAUGCUGAGGAAGAGGCCCCAGGAAGACCAUGCCGUUUCCUGGGCUUCAGUAUGUGACAAUGCAACAGUGCUCCCUGGGUACAAAGCAGUUACGGACUUCAUGAAUGCUGUGGUUUGAUUGUGGUCUGCCCCUUAUGGGUCAUCUGCUGGAAGCUGGGUCUCCAAUGUGACUGCAUUAGAGGUGGUGAAACCUUUAAUAGGUGGGACCUAGUGGGAGAUGGUUAGACCACUGAGGUCACUGCCCUUAGAAAGGACUGAUACCAUUCUCAUGAGACUCCAACUUUUUCUAGUGGGAACAAGUUAUAAAUGAGCAAGCCUGACCCCCAAAGUUCCCUGGCUUCCUGUGUGCCCUGGGACCGCUUCUACUUCUACUACUGUAACACCACCAACAUGAGGUCCUUACCAGAUGGAGAAGAUGGACCUUCAGAACUGUG